rnacentral:misc_RNA from 1 species
GGUUUUGAAUUUGACAAUUUAACAAUAAUACAUGGCUUAACUUGUGUUGCAGUUAGUUAGGUUAACAAACUUUCUAAAUUUGGAGGUAAAACCUUCAAGACAUAUACAAAUACAUGUGAUGCAAAGGUAUCAAGCAGAGGCAGUUGUUCCAUCUUGUUCGAAAAAAGAUGGAUUGUUAUUUUGGUCAACUUGUGUUCAUGCAAUGAAAGCUACCUAUAAUAAUUUUUCAAUCAUUGACUCCUGCAACAAACUUAGAAAUAAAAGAGUUAAAGUAACUGGAGAUAAAGAAGUAUGUGCAGGAUUUAAUUUCACGACUUAAGAGGACUCCGAAGAAGAAUAUUCUGUAUCUCAAUGAUAUCCUGGCUUAUCGAUACGAUAUCCUGUAAAUCCACUCACACACAUAAAUUUUACUCACACACGUAAAUCCUGUAAGUUCAUUUACACACGUAAAUCUUAAAAAAGAUGUUUAUAUUUUUAUCUAUAAAUUGUAAAUUUUAUAUAAAUAAAUUGUAUAUUUUUUAUGGUUUUCAUUGUAUA